CGGGGUGAGUAACGCGUGGGGAACCUGCCUUGCACCGGGGGAUAACACUUAGAAAUAGGUGCUAAUACCGCAUAAGCGCACAGAGCCGCAUGGCUCAGUGUGAAAAACUCCGGUGGUGCAAGAUGGACCCGCGUCUGAUUAGCUGGUUGGCGGGGUAACGGCCCACCAAGGCGACGAUCAGUAGCCGGCCUGAGAGGGUGAGCGGCCACAUUGGGACUGAGACACGGCCCAAACUCCUACGGGAGGCAGCAG
rnacentral:rRNA from 1 species